rnacentral:piRNA from 1 species
UACAUAGAUGGAUGUCAACCAGCAAGC